AUGUUAUAUGAAAGGAGAAAAGGUCAGCAUUUCCCUUGAUAAUGAUAGAAGCCAUUCUAGUGGCUUUUACACCAUAUACAGUUAAAACAUUGCCACCUACUUUAUGGCAGCUAAUCUU
ensembl:snRNA